UACGUAGGAUCCAAGCGUUAUCCGGAUUUACUGGGCGUAAAGAGUUGCGUAGGUGGCAGAGUAAGUUAGUAGUGAAAUCGUAUGGCUCAACCAUACUCACAUUGCUAAAACUGCUCAGCUUGAGGAUGAGAGAGGUCACUGGAAUUCCUUGUGUAGGAGUGAAAUCCGUAGAUAUAAGGAGGAACACCGAUGGCGUAGGCAGGUGACUGGCUCAUUUCUGACACUAAGGCACGAAAGCGUGGGGAGCAAACGGG
rnacentral:rRNA from 1 species